rnacentral:rRNA from 1 species
GACGUAGGGUGCGAGCGUUGUCCGGAUUUAUUGGGCGUAAAGAGCUCGUAGGCGGCUCGUCGCGUCGACCGUGAAAACCCGCGGCUUAACUGCGGGCUUGCGGUUGAUACGGGCGGGCUAGAGUUCGGUAGGGGAGACUGGAAUUCCUGGUGUAGCGGUGAAAUGCGCAGAUAUCAGGAGGAACACCGGUGGCGAAGGCAGCUCGCUGGAACGGUACUGACGCUGAGACGCGAAAGCGUGGGGAGCGAACAGG